AUCUAGAUCUAGUAACUAGUAUGUGUUGACGAUGUCUAAUCCUUGGUAACAUGGUUUAGAAGUAAGGGUGGGUAGCUGUAUAGAGAAGACCCAUUUGAGAACCAAGAGAUUAGCACCCAAUAGACUGUUUUAUGCUCUUUUUUUACUAUCAAUUUAGUUAAAACAGUUGUCAGGAAGACUAAUAAAUAUGAUGCCAACUUUCUGAAAAGAAACUGCUAAAAAAUAACGAUCCCUGAGUCAUAAAUGUGUGUUAGUCACUGUGACAAUAAUGAAGGUGCUUGUUUCCAUGGUACCUGGGGAGGGGGGAGAGAAAAGUAGUAAAAUAAUGUGACUGAAGGGUCUCAAUGUACCUUGUUUCCCUAAACACAUGUAUUAGGGCUUAUUCAAGCCUAAAACUUCUUAAAUAACUCUUACCUUUAUAAUUCUGUUCUGUUUUGAAAAAACGUUUUUGGAAUUUUAUGCGCAUAAAUUAUGCAAAUUAGCUUGGUUUAUUUUAAUAAAUGUUAAUAUUUCAGAUAAAUUCCAUAAUAUUGAAUUAGUUCAUUCAUUUCCCUACAAUAAUAGUCCAAACCUCCCGCAGGACGACAGGGGAUGGGAGCGGGCAGGGUUUAAACCCUGGACCACUGACAAAUCUGAACGACAGUCCAGCGCGCAAACCGCACGACCAAAAAAUGUUAAGAAAUUACCAGAGAAAAACACAAGGCUCGUAUGGUCAACAUUCUUGACAGGAGAUUUAAAAGCUAUCGCUGAUGGGAUGCCACUUAACAAUGUCUCCGAAAAAAUUACAUUUAUAAUUAUUAAAUAUUUCACUUAUACUUUUUAAA